GUUCUUCUGGGCUAUGCUUUUCAUAGCAUUGGCUAUAGAUUUUUGAUAAUAAAAUCUGAGGUAUCCGACAUGCAUGUUGGUACGAUUACGGAGUCUAAUGAUGCAACUUUCUUUGAGGACAUAUUUCCUAUGAAGGAUAUGUCAGGUUCAUCAAAUCAGGAGAUACCUAUUCCAUCUAGUGAGGAACUCACUGUAAUUCCUGAACCCACCAUUGCGAUGGAACACGUUGAGAAUCCUGUUGAGGGUGACAAUGAAACUCCUAUAAGGAGUAAGAGACAGAGGACUGCAAAGUCCUUUGGUGAUGAUUUCAUUGUGUACCUUGUGGAUGACACACCCAGGACUAUUUCAGAAGCCUAUGCAUCUCCUGAUGCUGACUACUGGAAGGAAGCUGUUCGUAGCGAGAUGGAUUCCAUCUUAGCUAACAGAACCUGGGAGAUCACUGACCGUCCUUAUGGGUGCAAACCUGUAGGAUGUAAGUGGGUGUUCAAGAAGAAGCUUAGACCUGAUGGUACGAUUGAAAAGUACAAGGCACGGCUUGUGGCUAAGGGUUAUACCCAGAAAGAAGGUGAAGACUUCUUUGAUACUUACUCACCCGUGGCUAGACUGACCACAAUUCGGGUGCUACUAUCACUGGCUGCCUCACAUGGUCUUCUCGUUCAUCAAAUGGACGUUAAGACGGCUUUCCUCAAUGGAGAGUUGAAGGAGGAAAUUUACAUGGAUCAGCCAGAUGGUUUUGUAGUACCUGGUCAAGAAGGAAAGGUGUGCAAGUUAUUAAAGUCUUUAUAUGGCCUUAGGCAAGCUCCUAAGGAGUGGCAUGAGAAGUUCGAAAGAACAUUAACUGGUGCCGGCUUUGUAGUAAAUGAUGGUGACAAGUGUGUGUACUAUCGCCUGGUGGGGGCGAAGGAGUUAUUCUUUGUCUAUAUGUCGAUGACAUAUUGA
rnacentral:rRNA from 1 species